rnacentral:rRNA from 1 species
UACGUAGGGUGCAAGCGUUAAUCGGAAUUACUGGGCGGAAAGCGUGCGCAGGCGGUUGUGUAAGACAGAUGUGAAAUCCCCGGGCUCAACCUGGGAACUGCAUUUGUGACUGCACAGCUGGAGUGCGGCAGAGGGGGAUGGAAUUCCGCGUGUAGCAGUGAAAUGCGUAGAUAUGCGGAGGAACACCGAUGGCGAAGGCAAUCCCCUGGGCCUGCACUGACGCUCAUGCACGAAAGCGUGGGGAGCAAACAGG